AUAGCUCUAUUGUUGACUAGCUCCCAUACCAAGUCAUAGAUUAGCUGCACUGCAUACUGGGCAAGCCCUGGUCACACAUACCUACAAAAGUACUCAGCAGCAGGUAGACGGAGAGGGGAGGAGGAACUGAGCUGCCGACAGCAUUCCGAGACCAGCCGUUGAAAAAGCAGGUAAUCCAUGGGCUCAUGGGAUGUGGAAGCUGAAGUAGUGGGACCCAAAGGUGAGAGCCCUCAGGAUCCUGGUGACUAUUCCCAAAGCUGCUGGUCAUCUUGAUCCGAUUGCCUGGUCUGGUGGUCUUGAUCCAAAGAUCUGACACUGCACAGAAAAGACUGCACCUUGACUGUCUCUAUAAAGGACAUCCUCCGAGCAAUGGUUGCUCAGACUAAUUUAAUCUUUUUAAAGACACACACCUGUCUAACCUGUACUAAUAACAGUAAAUGUAAUAACAAACAGCUAAAAGUGCAUAGGACUAUAUUGAACAUGAAAUGAACAAAAAACAUGCAACACUGUACUAUUAAAUAUUUUCAUUAAUGACUUUCAUUAGUAAUCAUUAAGGACGGUCAUCAAUUGUUUUCCAUGUCCACUGAAAGUAGGACAAGAAAUAAUGGACUUAAUUUGCAACAAGGGAGAUUUAGGUUAGAUAUUAGAAAAAAAAUUCUAACUAAAAGGGUAGUUAAGCUCUGGAAUAGUCUUCCAAGAAGUAUCCUCAUCAUUGGAGGUUUUUGAGAAAAACUUGGACAAACAUCUUGUGACGUUGCACUCCAUAAGAUUUUAUGAACAUAUGCUAAUGAGUGUGAAUAUAAUGUAACUGGAGUAUGCUUCAUGCAAAAGGCUCUCUUGUAAGGUAUCAUUACAAAGUU